rfam:Coccidioides immitis RMSCC 2394 cont1.524 mitochondrial, whole genome shotgun sequence.
UUGAGCCGUAUGCUAUGAAAGUAGCACGUACGGUUCUAAGAGGGGGAAAGUCCGAGAGGACCUACCUAUCUCAAC